AACGCUAGCUACAGGCUUAACACAUGCAAGUCGAGGGGCAGCAUGAGCUUAGCUUGCUAAGCUUGAUGGCGACCGGCGCACGGGUGAGUAACACGUAUCCAACCUCCCGCUUACUCAGGAAUAGCCUUUCGAAAGAAAGAUUAAUGCCUGAUGGUAUCUUAAGCACACAUGUAAUUAAGAUUAAAGAUUUAUCGGUAAGCGAUGGGGAUGCGUUCCAUUAGGUAGUAGGCGGGGUAACGGCCCACCUAGCCGACGAUGGAUAGGGGUUCUGAGAGGAAGGUCCCCCACAUUGGAACUGAGACACGGUCCAAACUCCUACGGGAGGCAGCAGUGAGGAAUAUUGGUCAAUGGACGAGAGUCUGAACCAGCCAAGUAGCGUGAAGGAUGACUGCCCUAUGGGUUGUAAACUUCUUUUAUAAGGGAAUAAAGUGAGGGACGUGUCCCUUUUUGUAUGUACCUUAUGAAUAAGGAUCGGCUAACUCCGUGCCAGCAGCCGCGGUAAUACGGAGGAUCCAAGCGUUAUCCGGAUUUAUUGGGUUUAAAGGGAGCGUAGGUUGACAUAUAAGUCAGCUGUGAAAGUUUACGGCUCAACCGUGAAAUUGCAGUUGAUACUGUAUGUCUUGAGUGUACAAGAGGUGGGCGGAAUUCGUGGUGUAGCGGUGAAAUGCUUAGAUAUCACGAAGAACUCCGAUUG
rnacentral:rRNA from 1 species